UACAGAGGUCUCAAGCGUUGUUCGGAUUCAUUGGGCGUAAAGGGUGCGUAGGUGGCGGGGUAAGUCAGGUGUGAAAUUUCGGAGCUUAACUCCGAAACUGCAUUUGAUACUGCCUUGCUUGAGGACUGGAGAGGAGACUGGAAUUCACGGUGUAGCAGUGAAAUGCGUAGAGAUCGUGAGGAAGACCAGUGGCGAAGGCGAGUCUCUGGACAGCAACUGACGCUGAGGCACGAAGGCCAGGGGAGCAAACGGG
rnacentral:rRNA from 1 species